CAAUGUUGUCCGUCUCGGUGGUGGCCCUGAUCUGGUUGGUCUCCCUGAGGACCUUGUCCACAGCUUUGGAUCCAACCCUGGAGGGGACAUGGAAAGACUGGAAGGCCACUCACGGUAAAGAAUACACUCAGGAGGAGGAAGAAUCCUUCCGAAGAGCCGUGUGGGAGGAGAAUUUGCGGAUGAUCCAAGACCAUAACAAGCAGGCUGACCUGGGAAAAUACACCUACUGGCUUGGCAU